rnacentral:lncRNA from 1 species
AAUAAAAGGUCCCGUCCUGGUGAGAGUGAGGUGAGACGAGGACAAUAAGACAAUUAGACUAUAGAAUCACUCUGCUGAUGCUGGUAUGGAGCCAAGGACCCACUAAUCUGGUAAUUAGUUCAUCAUUUCACCAACACAUGAUGGAGCAACUCCCCCUCCCUCUCCCAGCCUUGUUCCUCCCCCCGUCCCUCCCUCCCCCACCCUUGUCCCUCCCCUAACGCCUCCCCCACCCUUGUCCCUCCCCUAUCGCCCCCCCCCCCCCCCCCACACACUGUUUUAAAUGGCUCUCUGUCCUCCAGUGGGUGUCUUGUGCCGGCUGGCUGGAGGUAAGGACGUGCGCUCUUCUUCUUCAUGUCCUUUUAGGAAUCAUUCCCCUCACAGAAGGAGGAAGAGGAGCUGGUUGCUGCUGUCAAUCAUCUUCAUUUGUGACUCGUGCGUGUUCCAACAUGUGUGCAGAAACUUCUCGAGGUCUCCUCUGAAGACAGGCUGGAUGAAGUCGACCCUGGAGCCUGAAAGACGAAAGAUGACGCAGGAAGGAGCGGACUACCAGAAAGUCAGACCUGAUGAAGAGGAACCAAGACACCAGAAGCAAGAAGCCCCGCAGGAAGGAUACACCCAUCUUCACGUGUCCUCCACAUGUUCCAGGAGUGAGACAACUGAAGGUGGACAAUCCUCUGGUCCACUCUGAGAGUGAGGAAAAUGGUGGCAAAGAGUGAAUUUCCGUUGAUCUUCCAGUCACUCUCUCUCUCUCUCUUACAUUCAUCUGUAACACAAGAGUCCCGGUUGAACCGGCUGCUGGUUUCACCUUGUUGACAGCGCGUCAGAAUUGUCUCAGUGGUCCUCAAAGCGUCCACUCGUCAGAUUCCUGCUCUUGUUUUUGGAAAUAUGCUUCCGUGCAAUUAUAAUCAAAUUCCAACUAAUUAAAAGGGAAAACAGUGGAAGUUGCUGUAAAUGAACAAAUGAAUAAAUACGUGAAUGAAUAAAAACACUCGUUAGCUUUUGGGCUUCCUCAAUAUUGUUUGAUUGGAUGCAAUGUAGCAUAGCAGCAAUGUCAAUAGCUAAUAAAUGUACAAUUUUUAAUCAUAACUUUUAUCUUUAGAUAAUAUUACCCCUUGCUUUAUUUUUAUUUAGACUUAUUAAUGUGAAAAAAUCUAAUGUUAUUGUAUAAAAAUAAGCUACAUUUAAUUAGAUCACUUAUUGUUUUGUUAAAGAUUUCGUCAUGUUUAAGUCUUGAGAGACUUUAGUUCCAGUUUUACUUGUUUAAGUCUUCUCCAGUUUCACCAUUGGCCCAAAGUUAAGCCCCGCCCCUCUUUGGCACCAUUACACAAACACCCAUCAGCUGUCAGGAACUAGCUGGGCCACAUUUUGGGGUUCCAUCCUUGAGCCCAGGGAACAGAAGAGCUUUGUGGCUAUGCUGUGGAGGGUUAUGUGUUCCAGUUUAAAGGUAGGUUGAACUUUAAUCCGAGUGGAAGAGAAUCUUUAGCACAGAGUUAGCACAGAGUUUAGCACAGAGUUUAGCACACACUGUUUGUUGACAGAAGGAAACAUUACAGCAGUGACGGGGGGGGGGAGCAAAUGUAAAAUCACGUGAUUCCUGAUGUCAUAUGUGAUGUGAGGGUUGGGGUUGUGCUAGGGUUAGCGGUUCCCAGAUGCUAAUGUGUUUAACGAUUGCUACGUUAAAUACUAACCCUAACCCUGUUCUCCAGUAUGUGGACUGUAACAGCAGGAAAUCGAGACCAUCACCAACUCUGCAGCCUCCUACGAGUUCAGACGUCUCUUCAUGUCAACAGUUUAGAAUCGUACACACGAAAAACUCUUUUUUAAUGUUUGAAACACUGAUCCACUCGGUUUGGUUCUGCAGCUUCCGUAACAUAAAAGUCUCGUUAAUAAAGUUUCUGUGGGGCUUCAGAUUCCUGUGGCACACUCUAAAAUGUGGGUUGUUGCGACCUUGUUGGAGCAAUUCUGAAGAUAAAAGCGGACUGUGUUGGACCGCUAUUAUCAUCCCUGUUGUGCAGAAAGUUUGAUCCUGUAUCCAAACGUCCCACCAGGAUUCCUCAUCAUCCCGACUCCUGUUCAGGCCCUGAUCUCAGAGCAGUUCUGUUCAAACUUUAAAGAAUAAAAACAUGACACAGGAAGCAGAAAAUGGGACCUUUAAUCUACAGUUAUAAUGAUCGGAAACGAAUUUGCUUUAAGCAAGAAAAUAAAAAUGACAUUAGAAGAGACUAAGACACGAUGAGCAGAGGUUCAAAUGAAGCUCAGAUGUGAUCUACUGAAGCAGGGAUCCA